rnacentral:piRNA from 1 species
UACUUGUAACCCUUUCCUCCCCGAGUUGC